UCAAAGCUUGUCAGCAGCACUCUGUGGAGCAAAACUCCUUAUUUGCUAUGAAUUUGUCUUUCUCUUUUUAUUCAGGAUGACACUCACAGACACUCAGGGAAGAAAAGGGCUCAGUUCACACUAGGACAUGCUGAAGUACAAAAUUAAGUGCAGUUAAGAACAAAGACAUUCAUCAGCUGCUCUCAGCUGUUCUCCUCAGAGCUGGAUGUUGCUCCAGAGCUGACUUGUAGGUUGUUCCUUAAGUUAUGCUCUCGUUCUACCUGUGGCUUUAGGACUGGGCAAGGCACUGGCAAACUGCUUGCAUCAUUUUACGGGAAACGGCUUCACAGUUUCAGGAUCCUUACAGAAAUACAUCAGCUCUAAAGCUUCUAUUGCCCUCCUGAUCCAGCCCAGAGAAUUAAGAAGCACUGAGGAAGAAAGGAAAACUAACAGACUAAAAUAGGCUUGUGUGCAAAUUGUUACAGAGGACAGUCAUACAGGUCUAAUUUCCUUAAGAAACUAGACAAAAGUGCUGUAUUUAUACUUGGUAUAAUUUUAUAGCUGACAUUGCACUUCUGACUACCUGUAGUAAGGAUAAAAUUAAUACUAUUCUAAUUUACUAAGUCUGUGCCCCUCUCUUCCCCUCCCCAAAGUCUUCCUUUGUUAUUUAAUAAUAAUAAAUACAUAAAUAAAUAAAUAAAAAUCCACUUAUAAACAUGGUACUGCUUAGAGAAAAAACAUGUUUUUUCCCCUUUCAUUUUCCCCAACUUUCUUACACAAGAAAAUUUCCAUUAGUUAGAGGGAAAUUGUUCAAAAAUAGGCUGUACCAAAAAAUUGAUAUUUCUCUUUUCACUAAGAAAGCAUCCAGAACAUGUUAAUUCCACCUAGACUGUCUUUGUCGUUUAACAUUUGAAUAAAGUGGACAAAAUUGUCAGAGCGUGGAGAUCUAGCAAACAUGAAUCCACUUGUCUUUGAUGGAUAAACUCAUCUGAAUGACAGCACUUCUGGUCGUCCCGGUCAAUCCCCUGAGAUAUUGCAUUUCUGUGUUCUAAUUCUUGUUCUUUAAUAACCUUUUGAACUUGGAUAGAUAUCCCUAGUUCUUCCACUGUGGCCUACAAGAAUAGGUAGCUGGAAUGCUAUUCCAGUGUUUAACAGGAACUAUCUGUUACUGGAAACUUGAUUAUUUCUGGGUUGCUGUUUAGCAACUGUUUAAGAGAGAAAAGUGAAUGGAGAUUCAGUGACCUUAUAUGAUCUGGACUUCUUUUCCUUAAAAGACAAAAUAUCAAAAAUCGUAGUUCUGGCUACUGAUAGGGGGAAAUGCAGAAUAGCACUGUCUGCUUUUCUUCCACUGAAGUUCUUGACUUAGUCUUACUGUGUUUCUGAGUAAGGAGCAAAGUAGCUAAGCAGCCCUGAGCAUAUUAGUUAGUGGUUUGAAAGUUUGACAGAAGAGCUUGCUGUCUAUUUGUUAAUCCUUAUUUUCAAAAGCUUUUUAUGCAGCCGUUGUGAACAACACACCCAAAGCAACUGGGGAGAGAACAGCAUGGCUCUUACCAGGUCUCUAAAUUUGGAGACAAAUUUUGUUUUAAACAAUAUUUUGUAUUAGCAAAGGAAAAAAAGUGUUUCUGGUCUGAAAUUUUAUAUGGCAACUUUCACCUCAAGAUAAUGAAAACAAGCUGAGCUAUAAAAUCUUCAAAACUGGGGUUUAUGGAAAGGCUGACAAAUCCUUUACUGGAGCAAUGUGGCUGGGAGCACUUUAAAAGAUUCUCAGGGAGCAUUAUUGAUCACGAUCAUGCACUUCCAAGGUCUGGGAGCUGGGAGGCUGCAGGCAGAAGACCCGCUGUUUCCAAUUAGUGUGCUGGCCCAGAGGCAUGUCCAGCAGACAAUGCCUCAUUAGCAGCCAGCCCUUGGCUUCCUGGGGUCACAGGGGCAGCCUGAAGGCCUUACACUUUUUUCUUUGCCCUCCAAGCAUAGUGUGUUAUGUGGAGUCCCAUGAUGGGCCAUGCCAGUUCUAGCACAGGCUCUUGGUAGUAUUCCCAUGGGCAAGAAGAAUCAAAGGAAAAAAAACUAACCAAUUUUGUGUUUUCUCUGUCUGUUUGCUGUAAUUAAGCAUCACACAUAGAUCACAUAAAAGGAAUCAGCUUUUAGUGGGAAGAUAUGGCCUCAUUUCCCGACCUCUCCAUUUCGAGUUUCGGAACAAAGCCAUCUGACAUUGGAAGCACCAGCAAGAGUCUAUGAGUGGAUGUCAGGAAAUUCACAGCAAUGUUUUUUGCUGCUUAACGAGCAGCACUGCUGCUUGUAAAGAUGUGAGGUAAAAUGCUGGCCCCACUGAAUCUCUGGCAAACCUCCUGCAGUUUUCAGUGGGGCCAGGAUUUUACCCUGACUCUUGCAAGCCAUUUGUUGUAUGAGGUUUUAAUGGGUCCACUCCUGCACAGACUACUCUCGUAGGAAAGGGUUAGCUAGAUUGGCUCAGAUACUACACAGUUUAAAACUUAUAGGAAAGCUAUUUUGUAGUGAAAUUAAGGGACUAUAAAAGGAAUUUGGCUUUAGACAACUUGCUUCUGUUUGGAUUUGGAUUAGACUGCAAUCUCCUUGUCUGUUUUUAGCGUAUACGUCCCUGCCAGCAUCAAUAAUCUAUUUUCCUUAGUACAAGUGAAAUACUCUAAUAGCUCAGAGGUGUAGUCUGGUAUCCAAUGCUGCUCCGGAUUUCUUCUUUUGUUUAAGAUUUGGGCUACAAAUAGUCAGAGGCUGCAAGCUGCUCUUUAGUGUUUAUGUGCUGCCAUCAGCCAAUUCAUUGAUAUGUGGGACGACAUACUCCUUCCCUCCUGUUACUCUACUUCCAGUCAUUUCUAUAUUUUUCCUGACCCCCCUGAUAUAACCCAACUCCCCAGGCUCUUUCUCUGCCCAUGCAGUCCCUCCCACCUCAAUCUCAGCAUUAAUUUACACUUGGCUUGAUUGUAUUUUUGUUGGCAAAAUUUUCAUCCUGUCCACCAGCAUAUUAAUCCUCGAGCACUUCCUUGAACUUUUCAGGUUCAUACCUCUCCUUUCCCCACCUACUCCAAGGUAAAUAAAUCAGAACUUUAAGUAGUGCACAUCACAUUUAUCAUUUUACUUCAGGUCAAUGUCAUGUGCAAGUUAAGCUCAGCAAGGUUAGAGGCUGGAGGUGAAGACAACAGAGAAAGCCUAGAGGAAAAAGGCAGGGGUAGGGUAGCCAUUGCUUCAGAUGAACCCAUUAAAGAUCUAGUGGUAACAUUAGGAGAAUCUGUUCUUGGGAGAGCCAUGUUCUUACUGGCAUUUGCUGCUGCCUCAGGGGUCUGUGUGCUGCUGCAUCUUGCCAAGGCAUGGCUCAGCUUGCACUCCCUGAACAGUUCAAUGCUGAAGCUUAAUUUCUUUCCUCUGAAGGUGUCUCC